CUACGGGAGGCUGCAGUCGAGAAUCUUCCGCAAUGGGCGAAAGCCUGACGGAGCGACACAGCGUGAUCGAUGAAGCUCUUCGGAGUGUAAAGGUCUUUUAUAAGUGAAGAAGUUAUUGACAUUAGCUUAUGAAUAAGGGGUUGCUAAACUCGUGCCAGCAGCAGCGGUAAUACGAGUGCCCCAAGCGUUAUCCGGAAUUAUUGGGCGUAAAGCGUGUGUAGGUGGUUUUAUUAGUCUUUUGUUAAAGCCCCUGGCUCAACCAAGGAUCUGCAAAGGAAACGGUAAAACUAGAGAGUGUGAGGGGUGAAUGGAACUCAUAGUGUAGGGGUGAAAUCCGUUGAUAUUAUGGGGAACACCAAAAGCGAAGGCAAUUCACUGGCGCAUUUCUGACACUGAGACACGAAAGCGUGGGUAGCGAAUGGGAUUAGAUACCCGCGUAGUC
rnacentral:rRNA from 1 species